UACGUAGGGUGCGAGCGUUAAUCGGAAUUACUGGGCGUAAAGCGUGCGCAGGCGGUUUUGUAAGUCAGAUGUGAAAGCCCCCGGGCUCAACCUGGGAACUGCGUUUGAAACUGCAAGGCUAGAGUGUAGGAGAGGGGGGGUAGAAUUCCACGUGUAGCAGUGAAAUGCGUAGAGAUGUGGAGGAAUACCAAUGGCGAAGGCAGCCCCCUGGCCUAACACUGACGCUCAUGCACGAAAGCGUGGGGAGCAAACAGG
rnacentral:rRNA from 1 species